CUUACAUGAGUAUGUGCUAAACAGAGAACCAAGGUUAUUUCAAAAUUCAAUAUUCCUUGUUGAUUGGUUUCAUUGGUUUUAACCACUCAAGUUGUUCAAAUGACAGUUACAAGAAACUAGAACAAAGUUUUGGAGAGUAUGAACAUAGCAGUCACGAACAAGGAUAUUCAGGAC